CUGCGGUGAUGACAUUUCUUAGGACACCUUUGGAUUUAAUUGUGAAAAGAAAGCGUAAUCUCUGAGCAGC
rfam:Leptosomus discolor contig80879, whole genome shotgun sequence.